ACUAUGAAGAAGGAACAUGUACACUGUUAGCCAAAACACAACCAGAGUCUCCAGAACGAAGGAGCAGAGAACAUUUAUCCAACCCAGCUGUUCAGCCGAUGAAGACAAUGUACCACCCCUCCCCCGAGGUGAAGCGGUGACCACAUUUCAUCCUCCCCACAGCGGCUGAUUUACCUUCUGACAGUGCAGAGGAACAUUACGCCACACAUCCAGACCGGAAAAGUAUGUGACUUAUUGUUCAUCGAAGUAGA
rnacentral:lncRNA from 1 species